rnacentral:sRNA from 1 species
GAAAUGGAGCAGGCGACAGUUUGGGUAGUGGGCAGGAGGGAGAGGAGAGAGGCACAUGGAGAAAUCUGAGGCGGCGUGAUGGAUGAGAAGAGUGAAGAUUCCAUGUCCGUCUCCACCUUGAGCUUUGGUGUGAACAGACCCACGAUUUCCUGCAUAUUCGACUAUGGGAACCGCUACCAUCUACGCUGCUACAUGUACCAAGCCCGGGACCUGGCUGCGAUGGACAAGGACUCUUUUUCUGAUCCCUAUGCCAUCGUCUCCUUCCUGCACCAGAGCCAGAAGACGGUGGUGGUGAAGAACACCCUUAACCCCACCUGGGACCAGACGCUCAUCUUCUACGAGAUCGAGAUCUUUGGCGAGCCGGCCACAGUUGCUGAGCAACCGCCCAGCAUUGUGGUGGAGCUGUACGACCAUGACACUUAUGGUGCAGACGAGUUUAUGGGUCGCUGCAUCUGUCAACCGAGUCUGGAACGGAUGCCCCGGCUGGCCUGGUUCCCACUGACGAGGGGCAGCCAGCCAUCGGGGGAGCUGCUGGCCUCUUUUGAGCUCAUCCAGAGAGAGAAG